GAUGAACGCUAGCUACAGGCUUAACACAUGCAAGUCGAGGGGAAACGACAUCGAAAGCUUGCUUUUGAUGGGCGUCGACCGGCGCACGGGUGAGUAACGCGUAUCCAACCUGCCCAUCACUUGGGAAUAACCUUGCGAAAGUAAGACUAAUACCCAAUGAUAUCCCACGAAGGCAUCGGAAUGGGAUUAAAGAUUUAUCGGUGAUGGAUGGGGAUGCGUCUGAGUAGCUUGUUGGCGGGGUAACGGCCCACCAAGGCAACGAUCAGUAGGGGUUCUGGGAGGAAGGUCCCACACAUUGGAACUGAAACACAGUCCAAACUCCUACGGGAGGCAGCAGUGAGGAAUAUGGGUCAAUGGGCGAGAGCCUGAACCAGCCAAGUAGCGUGCAGGAAGACGGCCCUAUGGGUUGUAAACUGCUUUUAUAAGGGAAUAAAGUGGGUCACGUGUGACUGUUUGCAUGUACCUUAUGAAUAAGGACCGGCUAAUUCCGUG
rnacentral:rRNA from 1 species